rfam:Frankia asymbiotica strain NRRL B-16386 contig_48, whole genome shotgun sequence.
GCGGUCGUAGCUCAGUGGCAGAGCGAGUGCCUUCCAAGCAUGAGACCGGAGUUCGAUUCUCCGUGACCGCU